rnacentral:rRNA from 1 species
GACAGAGGGUGCAAACGUUGUUCGGAAUUACUGGGCGUAAAGCGCGUGUAGGCGGCUAUGCAAGUCGGGCGUGAAAUCCCACGGCUCAACCGUGGAAGUGCACCCGAAACUGCGUAGCUAGAGUCCUGGAGAGGAAGGUGGAAUGCUUGGUGUAGAGGUGAAAUUCGUAGAUAUCAAGCGGAACACCGGUGGCGAAGGCGGCCAACUGGACGAACACUGACGCUGAGACUCGAAAGCGUGGGGAGCAAACAGG